rnacentral:rRNA from 1 species
AGUGAACGCUGGCGGUAGGCCUAACACAUGCAAGUCGAACGGCAGCACAGUAAGAGCUUGCUCUUACGGGUGGCGAGUGGCGGACGGGUGAGGAAUACAUCGGAAUCUACUUUUUCGUGGGGGAUAACGUAGGGAAACUUACGCUAAUACCGCAUACGACCUACGGGUGAAAGCAGGGGAUCUUCGUACCUUGCGCGAUUGAAUGAGCCGAUGUCGGAUUAGCUAGUUGGCGGGGUAAAGGCCCACCAAGGCGACGAUCCGUAGCUGGUCUGAAAGGAUGAUCAGCCACACUGGAACUGAGACACGGUCCAGACUCCUACGGGAGGCAGCAGUGGGGAAUAUUGGACAAUGGGCGCAAGCCUGAUCCAGCCAUACCGCGUGGGUGAAGAAGGCCUUCGGGUUGUAAAGCCCUUUUGUUGGGAAAGAAAAGCAGCAGGUUAAUACCCCGCUGUUCUGACGGUACCCAAAGAAUAAGCACCGGCUAACUUCGUG